rnacentral:lncRNA from 1 species
AAGUAUAAAAACCAAAUACAAAAAAUGUAUUCUUAUUGUAGGAAACCCAGAUCCCGAGGAAAAAAUAAUUUACGAACAAUCGUCGCCAUCAACCAGUACUGUAUCAGUUCCGAGAAGUAGACGAAGAAGCAGGUCAAAUUCAGUUUUGUCAGAAGCGUCCACGCCGUCUCAAAGUUUACCUGGUACUCCUCAAAAACGGAAAACUAGAAGUCGGACUAAAAGUCCUGCUGCGUCAGGCAUAUCCACUCGAUCUCGAAAGCAAUCAGAGAAUGAUUUAGUGGUAUCAGAACACCCAGAGGAAUCUAGUCCACCAAAAAGGGAAAGACCGAAGAAAACAGACGAUGCUGAAAGUACUGGUAGACGUACACGAAGUAGAGCUGGGUCUGCAUCUUCUAUUAAAUCGGAUGGAUCAACUGAAAAGAAGUCUGCUAGAGGAAGAAGAAUAGUUUCAGCGAAAUCAGAAUUACCGGAAAUAUCGGAAGAAAAGGAAACUGUAAAUCAGAAAUAACUGUUUUUAGUAGGUACUAAUGAUUAACUUUUAUGUUUUUUCAAUAAAUGUAAUACUGUUAUAUUAAAUGUAUAUUUUGUAUUGAUAUGAAUAAAAAAAUCCUCAGUG